AGUCAGUAGGAGUAGACCCGAAACCGGGUGAUCUAUCCAUGUCCAGGUUGAAGCUGCCGUAAGAGGUAGUGGAGGACCGAACCCACAUCCGUUGAAAAGGGUGGGGAUGAGGUGUGGAUAGGGGAGAAAUUCCAAUCGAACCCGGAGAUAGCUGGUUCUCCUCGAAAUAGCUUUAGGGCUAGCCUCGAUACAGAUUUGCGGAGGUAGAGCACUGAAUUUCCUAGGGGGCGUCAAAGCCUACCGAAGAAUAUCAAACUCCGAAUGCCGCGUAAUCGAUUAUCGGGAGUCAGACUGCACGAGAUAAGUUGGGCGGUCAAAAGGGAAAGAGCCCAGACCUUCAGUUAAGGUCCCCAAGUGCGCGUUAAGUGGAAAAGGAUGUGGGAUUUCGAAGACAACCAGGAUGUUGGCUCAGAAGCAGCCAUCCAUUCAAAGAGUGCGUAAUAGCUCACUGGUCGAGAGGUCCUGCGCCGAAAAUGUCCGGGGCUGAAACGCGCCACCGAAACUAAGGAACCGAAAGGUUGGUAGAGGAGCAUUGCAUGCGGGAAGAAGCAGUACCGUAAGGAGCUGUGGACUGCAUGGAAGAGAGAAUGCCGGAAUGAGUAGCGAGAAUAAGGUGGGAAUCCUUAUGGCCGAAUAUCCAAGGUUUCCAGAGUAAAGCUGAUCUGCUCUGGGUAAGUCGGGGCCUAAGGCGAGGACGAGAGUCGUAGCCGAUGGACAACAGGUGGAGAUUCCUGUACUGCGGUAUGACAGAACUGUGGGGACACGUAAGGAAAGCGGAAGCCGGGAAUGGAAAGCCCGGUGCAAGCGGGGUACCAGUCACUUUGGCAAAUCCGGGUGGCAAUGGGAAGCCGUGAUGCGGAGCGAAAUAAAGUAGCGAAGUCCGUGAGCCAUGCGUCAAGAAAAGCCGCUAUCGUUUAUACCGUACCCGUACCGUAAACCGACACAGGUGGAUGAGGAGAGAAUCCUAAGGCCGGCGGAAGAAGCAUUGUCAAGGAACUCGGCAAAAUGGCCCCGUAACUUAGGGAUAAGGGGUGCCUGGGAAACCAGGCCGCAGAGAAUAGGCUCAAGCAACUGUUUAGCAAAAACACAGGUCUAUGCGAAACCGAAAGGUGAGGUAUAUGGGCUGACGCCUGCCCGGUGCUGGAAGGUUAAGAGGAGAGGUUAGCGGUAACGCGAAGCUUUGAAUUUAAGCCCCAGUAAACGGCGGCCGUAACUAUAACGGUCCUAAGGUAGCGAAAUUCCUUGUCGGGUAAGUUCCGACCCGCACGAAAGGCGUAAUGAUUUGAGCGCUGUCUCGACAAUGCAUCCGGUGAAAUUGAAGUACCAGUGAAGAUGCUGGUUACCUGCGCCAGGACGGAAAGACCCCAUGGAGCUUUACUCCAGUCUGGUACUGGGACUCGGUAUUGCAUGUACAGGAUAGGUGGGAGGCUAGGAGAUGGUAACGCCAGUUGCCAUGGAGCCGCUGUUGGGAUACCACCCUUGCAGUAUUGGGUUUCUAACCAGCCGCCGUGACCCGGCGGUGGGACAAUGCCAGACGGGGAGUUUGACUGGGGCGGUCGCCUCCGAAAGGGUAUCGGAGGCGCCCAAAGGUUCCCUCAGAAUGGACGGAAACCAUUCGAAGAGUGCAAAGGCAGAAGGGAGCUUGACUGCGACACCGACGGGUGGAGCAGGUACGAAAGUAGGGCUUAGUGAUCCGGUGGUAUUAAGUGGGAAUGCCAUCGCUCAACGGAUAAAAGCUACCCUGGGGAUAACAGGCUUAUCACUCCCAAGAGUUCACAUCGACGGAGUGGUUUGGCACCUCGAUGUCGGCUCAUCGCAUCCUGGGGCUGUAGUA
rnacentral:rRNA from 1 species